rnacentral:ribozyme from 13 species
UUCUUUCUCUUUCUCCUUCACCCUUUCUUUCUCCUUCACCUUCUCUUUCUCUUUCUCUUUCUCUUUCUUUCCGGACCCAGGAGGAGGGGGAGACGAAGAAGAGGGCGGUUUUAACAAAGAAACCAUUGAGGAAGAAGGACGAAAAGCAUUUACAUUUCGUUUGGUAUUCUUUUUUA